UCAUUAUCACAGACUUAGCAG
ensembl:piRNA 21ur-4373 ncRNA